UACGUAGGGGGCAAGCGUUGUCCGGAAUUAUUGGGCGUAAAGAGCUCGUAGGCGGCUCAGUAAGUCGGGUGUGAAACCCUCAGGCUCAACCUGGGGACGCCACUCGAUACUGCUGUGGCUAGAGUCCAGUAGGGGAGUGUGGAAUUCCCGGUGUAGCGGUGAAAUGCGCAGAUAUCGGGAGGAACACCAGCGGCGAAGGCGGCACUCUGGGCUGGUACUGACGCUGAGGAGCGAAAGCGUGGGUAGCAAACAGG
rnacentral:rRNA from 1 species